rnacentral:rRNA from 1 species
CUGCCCGAAAUGCUUGAGCACUGGCUAGCUGGGUUGUGGCUGUUGGGCCUUCGUGCCAUGUCACACAUGCCCUUUACAGGCGGAUUCGUUCAUGGGCGCAGCAUAUGCCUGUCAUUGUUGCGCUCCUCUGAUGUGUCCGUGCUGGGCGAACCUCUCGAAGCAUCACACGGUAAUUGCCCACCACAGCUCGUUGCUUGGUCACCCGCUGGGUCUAGACGUGCAGGAUGCUCAUCCAGUUUCCGGACUGUCAAUGUUGACGCGUGUGUAUGGGCGAUGCUACCGUACGGAGGGCUUUUCCGUGCGCGUACACGCUCGCGUCACGUCCGUGAUAUCCUGGCUCUGACUGCCGACUCGUAGACGUGGUGUGAUCCAUUCGGCGACGAAGCUGCAAUUGGCCAGACAUAUGCAACCCCAGCACUGCGGCCAUGUGUCGGUCGCGGUGUCCCUGCGGGCAGGCUGCUUGCGUCGCAUGCGAUGCAUACGCUCAGCUUGGGAGUUGGUCUGAUUGGUGAUGAUCUAGCGACCAUCGGUCACGUCUCGAAACACGGGCCAAGGAGUAUAGCAUGUGUGCAAGUCU